rnacentral:rRNA from 1 species
UGGGGAAUAUUGCACAAUGGGGGGAACCCUGAUGCAGCCAUGCCGCGUGUAUGAAGAAGGCCUUAGGGUUGUAAAGUACUUUCAGUCAGGAGGAAGGGUGAGCAGUGAAUAGCUGUUUGCAUUGACGUUACUGACAGAAGAAGCACCGGCUAACUCCGUG